rnacentral:rRNA from 1 species
GACGAACGCUGGCGGCGUGCUUAACACAUGCAAGUCGAACGGAAAGGCUCCAGCUUGCUGGAGUACUCGAGUGGCGAACGGGUGAGUAACACGUGGGUAAUCUGCCCUGCACUCUGGGAUAAGCCUGGGAAACUGGGUCUAAUACUGGAUAUGACCUUUCUCCUUAUGGGGUUUGGUGGAAAGUUUUUCGGUGUAGGAUGAGCCCGCGGCCUAUCAGCUUGUUGGUGGGGUGAUGGCCUACCAAGGCGACGACGGGUAGCCGGCCUGAGAGGGUGAUCGGCCACAUUGGGACUGAGAUACGGCCCAGACUCCUACGGUAGGCAGCAGUGGGGAAUAUUGCACAAUGGGCGGAAGCCUGAUGCAGCGACGCCGCGUGAGGGAUGACGGCCUUCGGGUUGUAAACCUCUUUCAGCAGGGACGAAGCGUAAGUGACGGUACCUGCAGAAGAAGCACCGGCUAACUAUGUG